ACACCCUGGGCUUAAUGCAAAUUAAAUUAGAAUGAGAAAAGUAAUUAUCCAGGACUUACAACGGCCAAGUAAAGAAAUGAGAUGACUGCCCUUCAUACAAGGAGGUGCUGCUGAUCUGCUAUUAACAAGAGAUUUGUGAAAUGUUUUGCUAAGAAGACUUUUCACUGCAAAGCACCCACUUUGUUUAAAGCAACAAGGCAAAGUGCUGGAUGAACGUAAAGAGGUUUUCAACACAGAACUUCACAAUAAAAACGGUAAAUACUGACAAUCACAGACCUAGAGUACUGUUUUUUCUUAAGAAUGUCUUUUCCAACCCCUGGCACCAGUAGAUGUCUUCCACCUUGGGACAGUCUUGAAAAUUACGGCCCGGUAAUUAUCAUCUUUGGGGAUGAUGUAAGGCCAUAUUAUAUGGAAGAUUAUAUGAAGAUUCACAGACUACUGAAAAGACAGGCAUCUGGUUUUAAAUUUGGCUCCAUGUCAGUCUUGAAGGGCAGUAUUCAAAAGACCGGAGCCUGUCCCAGCUGCUGACCUUAGCCAGGGGAUGUCAGAACAGCGGAGCCAUGAAAUCCUCCAUCCAAGUACCACAAUAAUGUGCCAAAAGAUGAGGGUGACUUCACACCUUGGCUAAUUCACAUCUGCAAAGAGAGAAAACAAUUUGCAACUGAAUCCAGCCCCACUAAUACCAUCCUAGCGAGUUCUCCCCAUCAGCCAAUCUGGAGGCUGCUGGCAAACCGAGACUUUGUCUCAAGAGAUGUAGAUGUGGUAUAAUAUGCAAAUGCAACAUGCUACAUGUUUAUUGGUUUGUCUGACAUGCUUAUAGAGUCUAU